rnacentral:tRNA from 1 species
GGGGUUGUGGCUCAGUGGUAGAGCGCUUGUCUAGCAUGUAUGAGGCAGUGGAUUCAAUUCUCAGCACCA